CUUUAGUUCAAGCCCCGAAACUAAGUGAGCUACCCCGGGACAGCCUAUUAAUUAGGGCCAACCCGUCUCUGUGGCAAAAGAGUGGGAAGAUCCCCGGGUAGAGGUGACAGACCUACCGAGCUUAGUUAUAGCUGGUUGCCUAAAAAAUGGAUAGAAGUUCAGCCUCGCACUCCUCAACUCACAAACAAUUAAAAUUCAAGAGCCAGAGAAAAAUGCGAGAGUUAGCCAAAAGAGGUACAGCUCAUUUGGAACAGGAUACAACCUUACCAGGAGGUUAAAGAUUAUACUAAACAAGAUAUACCGUUGCAGUGGGCCUAAAAGCAGCCACCUGAACAGAAAGCGUUAAAGCUCAAACGAACUAAACAUCUAUUAUUCAAAUAAUAAAUCUAAAACCCCUAAUCAUAUUAGGCCCUCCUAUGUAAACAUAGAAAAGAUACUGCUAAAAUGAGUAAUAAGAAGAACAAAUCUUCUCCUAGCCUACGUGUAAACUAGAUCGGACCCCCCACUAGUGAUUAUCGAACCCAACCCAAGAGGGUAGUAUGUACAUACCAAAUAUCAAGAAAAACCCAUAUUAAACCAUCGUUAAACCCACACCGGAAGGCCUACAUUUAGGAAAGACUAAAAGAAAAGGAAGGAACUCGGCAAACACAAGCCUCGCCUGUUUACCAAAAACAUGGCCUCCUGCAAACCCCGACGUAUAGGAGGUCUCACCUGCCCAGUGACAAGUUUUAACGGCCGCGGUAUUUUGACCGUGCGAAGGUAGCGCAAUCACUUGUCUUUUAAAUGAAGACCUGUAUGAAUGGUAGAACGAGGGCUUAACUGUCUCCCCUUUCAAGUCAAUGAAAUUGAUCUGCCCGUGCAGAAGCGGACAUACAAAUACAAGACGAGAAGACCCUUUGGAGCUUUAGACAUAAGACCACCUAUGUCAAGGAUAAUAAAAUAAAUCAAACUAAAUAGUAAUUGGUCCUAAUCUUUUGUUGGGGCGACCGCGGGAAAAAAGAAAGCUCCCACGAAGAACGGGGCACCACCCUGAAACCAAGAAAGACAUUUCCAAGUCACAGAAUAUCUGACUUUAAAGACCCGGCUAUUAUGCCGACCAACGGACCAAGUUACCCUAGGGAUAACAGCGCAAUCCCCUCCCAGAGGCCAUAUCGACGAGGGGGUUUACGACCUCGAUGUUGGAUCAGGACAUCCUAAUGGUGCAGCCGCUAUUAAGCGCUCGU
rnacentral:rRNA from 1 species